rnacentral:rRNA from 1 species
UACGGGGGGAGCAAGCGUUGUUCGGAUUUACUGGGCGUAAAGGGCGCGUAGGCGGUCAGCACAAGUCAGUUGUGAAAUCUCCGGGCUUAACUCGGAAAGGUCAACUGAUACUGUGCGACUAGAGUGCGGAAGGGGCAACUGGAAUUCUCGGUGUAGCGGUGAAAUGCGUAGAUAUCUGGAGGAACACCGGUGGCGAAGGCGGCAUCCUGGACCAAUUCUGACGCUGAGGAGCGAAAGCCAGGGGAGCAAACGGG